AUUGAACGCUGGCGGCAGGCUUAACACAUGCAAGUCGAGCGGAGAUGAGGUGCUUGCACCUUAUCUUAGCGGCGGACGGGUGAGUAAUGCUUAGGAAUCUGCCUAUUAGUGGGGGACAACAUUCCGAAAGGAAUGCUAAUACCGCAUACGUCCUACGGGAGAAAGCAGGGGAUCUUCGGACCUUGCGCUAAUAGAUGAGCCUAAGUCGGAUUAGCGAGUUGGUGGGGUAAAGGCCUACCAAGGCGACGAUCUGUAGCGGGUCUGAGAGGACGAUCCGCCACACUGGGACUGGGACACGGGCCAGACUCCGACGGGAGGCAGCAGUGGGGAAUAUUGGACAAUGGGGGGAACCCUGAUCCAGCCAUGCCGCGUGUGUGAAGAAAGCCUUAUGGUUGUAAAGCACUUUAAGCGAGGAGGAGGCUACUGAGACUAAUACUCUUGGAUAGUGGACGUUACUCGCAGAAUAAGCACCGGCUAACUCUGUGCCAGCAGCCGCGGUAA
rnacentral:rRNA from 1 species